rnacentral:rRNA from 1 species
CCUACGGGUGGCAGCAGUGGGGAAUAUUUCGCAAUGGGCGAAAGCCUGACGCAGCGACGCCGCGUGAGGGAUGAAGGUCUUCGGAUCGUAAACCUCUGUUAGCAGGGAAGAACGGUCACUGUGCUAAUCAGCAGUGAAUUGACGGUACCUGCAAAGGAAGCACCGGCUAACUCCGUGCCCGCAGCUGCGGCAAUACGGAGGGUGCGAGCGUUAAUUGGAAUUACUGGGCGUAAAGCGCUCGUAGGCGGUAUGUCAAGUCAAGGGUGAAAUCCCCGGGCUCAACGUGGGAACUGCCUUUGAUACUGGCAAACUUGAGUGUGUGAGAGGAUAGUGGAAUUCGAGGUGUAGGAGUGAAAUCCGUAGAUAUCUGGAGGAACAUCAGUGGCGAAGGCGACUAUCUGGCACAUAACUGACGCUGAGGAGCGAAAGCGUGGGUAGCAAACAGGAUUAGAUACCCUUGUAGUC